AGCGCAGACGGUUAAUUAAGUCUGAUGUGAAAGCCCGGAGCUCAACUCCGGAAAGGCAUUGGAAACUGGUUAACUUGAGUGCAGUAGAGGUAAGUGGAACUCCAUGUGUAGCGGUGGAAUGCGUAGAUAUAUGGAAGAACACCAGCGGCGAAGGCGGCUUACUGGACUGUAACUGACGUUGAGGCUCGAAAGUGUGGGUAGCAAGCA
rnacentral:rRNA from 1 species